UGUUUGUUAGUAGUUAUUUUGUAUGUAGUCGAUACGAAAAUUGUAUGCUCAGUAAGUUAAAUGGUAAUUGGUCUCCUUAAUCAUGCAAACAGCAACACUAUGGAAGCUUUUUAAUAUAUUGAACAGACCUUGUUCCGAAUGUUGAAUAUUACAAUAUAUAUUUCUAACUGUUAACCAUGACUGCCUGUAAUAAUCUAAUUAACAUGAUCAAAUCAGUAAAACUCCUGUAUAUUGGGAGAAAAACGGUUUAAUGCAAUAAUUAUCAAACAUGUUUGCUUAAAGAGUAGCCAAAGUCAACUGCCAUUUGAGUGUUAAGAUAUUUCACUCUAACACUUCCUAAGGAAUAAUACAUUCUAACUUAUAUGAAGUAUUUUCAACAACAAAUGGAAAUUUUUAACGACCUUGACUGGCUAUACAGCCCUUGCACAGUCCGAUUGGAAGUAUUUUAAACUGUUGGCCAUUAAUGUAUGUCUAAGAGCUCCAAAAAUGUCGGGUGUUUACAAUGUUGCUUUUGCAAGCAGCAUACAUUUCUGCAAAUUAUUCGAUCAGCAGUUAUUUUGUCUAUUAUAUGAACCUCAUAAUAAAAAUGCCACAAUAAAUGAAGACAAAUCUUCCAAUCUAAUUAAAAACCGAUCUCUCAUGCUCCUGUUUUCUGAUAUGUCGGGGGCUCCCACGCGACAUAUCAGAAAACGGGAGCAUGAGAGAUUGGUUCUUAAUUAGAUUGCAAAUCUUCUAUCCUAUAAAAAUUCCACUACUUUUUAAACAAUGUGCAAGAUUCAUUAACG
rnacentral:lncRNA from 1 species